rnacentral:rRNA from 1 species
UAGAGUUUGAUCAUGGCUCAGAUUGAACGCUGGCGGCAUGCCUUACACCUGCAAGUCGAACGGCAGCGGACCUUCGGGUNCCGGCGAGUGGCGAACGGGUGAGUAAAGUAUCGGAACGUACCUNNNNGUGGGGGAUAACGUAGCGAAAGUUACGCUAAUACCGCAUAUUCUGUGAGCAGGAAAGCAGGGGAUCGCAAGACCUUGCGCUGAUUGAGCGGCCGAUAUCAGAUUAGCUAGUUGGUGGGGUAAAGGCCUACCAAGGCGACGAUCUGUAGCGGGUCUGAGAGGAUGAUCCGCCACACUGGGACUGAGACACGGCCCAGACUCCUACGGGAGGCAGCAGUGGGGAAUUUUGGACAAUGGGCGCAAGCCUGAUCCAGCCAUGCCGCGUGAGUGAAGAAGGCCUUCGGGUUGUAAAGCUCUUUCGGCCGGGAAGAAAUCGCAUGGGCUAAUACCCUGUGUGGAUGACGGUACCGGAAUAAGAAGCACCGGCUAACUACGUGCCAGCAGCCGCGGUAAUACGUAGGGUGCGAGCGUUAAUCGGAAUUACUGGGCGUAAAGCGUGCGCAGGCGGUUUUUUAAGAUAGGCGUGAAAUCCCCGGGCUCAACCUGGGAACUGCGCUUAUGACUGGAAGACUAGAGUAUGGCAGAGGGGGGUGGAAUUCCACGUGUAGCAGUGAAAUGCGUAGAGAUGUGGAGGAACACCGAUGGCGAAGGCAGCCCCCUNNNCCAAUACUGACGCUCAUGCACGAAA